rnacentral:tRNA from 1 species
GAUCCUGUUUUUACUUGCUGGUAGAUCGUUCUCUCACGGCGGAGACACCGGUUCGAAACCGGUUGGGACUGCCA